CACGUAGGGGCCAAGCGUUGUCCGGAUUUAUUGGGCGUAAAGAGCUCGUAGGCGGUUCAGCAAGUCGGGUGUGAAAACUCUGGGCUCAACCCAGAGCCGCCACCCGAUACUGCUGUGACUCGAGUGCGGUAGGGGAGCGGGGAAUUCCUGGUGUAGCGGUGAAAUGCGCAGAUAUCAGGAGGAACACCGGUGGCGAAGGCGGGUCUCUGGGCCGAUACUGACGCUGGAGAAGCGAAAAGCAUGGGGAGCGAACAGG
rnacentral:rRNA from 1 species